rnacentral:rRNA from 1 species
GGGAAUAUUGCACAAUGGGCGCAAGCCUGAUGCAGCCAUGCCGCGUGUAUGAAGAAGGCCUUCGGGUUGUAAAGUACUUUCAGCGGGGAGGAAGGGAGUAAAGUUAAUACCUUUGCUCAUUGACGUUACCCGCAGAAGAAGCACCGGCUAACUCCGUGCCAGCAGCCGCGGUAAUACGGAGGGUGCAAGCGUUAAUCGGAAUUACUGGGCGUAAAGCGCACGCAGGCGGUUUGUUAAGUCAGAUGUGAAAUCCCCGGGCUCAACCUGGGAACUGCAUCUGAUACUGGCAAGCUUGAGUCUCGUAGAGGGGGGUAGAAUUCCAGGUGUAGCGGUGAAAUGCGUAGAGAUCUGGAGGAAUACCGGUGGCGAAGGCGGCCCCCUGGACGAAGACUGACGCUCAGGUGCGAAAGCGUGG